rnacentral:rRNA from 1 species
GAUGAACGCCGGCGGUGUGCCUAAUACAUGCAAGUCGUACGCACUGGCCCAACUAAUUGAUGGUGCUUGCACCUGAUUGACGAUGGAUCACCAGUGAGUGGCGGACGGGUGAGUAACACGUAGGUAACCUGCCCCGGAGCGGGGGAUAACAUUUGGAAACAGAUGCUAAUACCGCAUAACAACAAAAGCCGCAUGGCUUUUGUUUGAAAGAUGGCUUUGGCUAUCACUCUGGGAUGGACCUGCGGUGCAUUAGCUAGUUGGUAAGGUAACGGCUUACCAAGGCGAUGAUGCAUAGCCGAGUUGAGAGACUGAUCGGCCACAAUGGAACUGAGACACGGUCCAU